rnacentral:rRNA from 1 species
UCCCAGAGCCAUAUCAUCCUGCAGGUCUCACCUGGUUUCCCACUGAAGCUAAACAGGGCUGAGUCUGGCCAGUAUCUGAAUGGAAGACCUCCUGGGGAAGGUUGCUGCUGGAA